rnacentral:rRNA from 1 species
UACGGAGGAUGCAAGCGUUAUCCGGAAUGAUUGGGCGUAAAGAGCUCGUAGGCGGUUUGUCGCGUCGAAUGUGAAAACCCGGGGCUCAACCCCGGGCCUGCAUUCGAUACGGGCAGACUAGAGUUCGGUAGGGGAGUCUGGAAUUCCUGGUGUAGCGGUGAAAUGCGCAGAUAUCAGGAGGAACACCGGUGGCGAAGGCGGGACUCUGGGCCGAUACUGACGCUGAGGAGCGAAAGCGUGGGGAGCAAACAGG